rnacentral:rRNA from 1 species
AUUGAACGCUGGCGGCAUGCCUAACACAUGCAAGUCGAACGAGUGGCGGACGGGUGAGCAAUGUCUGGGAAACUGCCUAAUGGAGGGGGAUGACUAGUGGAAACGGUGGCUAAUACCGCAUACCAUCCGAUGGGGCCAGAGGGGAUUAGCGAGUUGGUGGGGUAACGGCUCACCAAGGCGACGAUCCCUAGCUGGGCUGAGAGGCUGACCAGCCACACUGGAACUGAGACACGGUCCAGACUCCUACGGGAGGCAGCAGUGGGGAAUAUUGCACAAUGGGCGCAAGCCUGAUGCAGCCAUGCCGCGUGUAUGAAGAAGGCCUUCGGGUUGUAAAGUACUUUCAGCGGGGAGGCGUUACCCGCAGAAGAAGCACCGGCUAACUCCGUGCCAGCAGCCGCGGUAAUUC